GAGAGCUGGAUGAGGGGAGACCCUCACGUCCGGUUCGGAGGGCGCCCUCCCCCCCCCUCCCCCCCCAAAAAAAUAGUUUCUCAUGAUCUAUCUAAU
rnacentral:ncRNA from 1 species